rnacentral:lncRNA from 1 species
GGCUGUCCAUGUCCAAAGGGCAUGUCCAAAUGGACAAAAUAGUUUAUUGGACAUUUUUUUUUUUAAGCCCAAAUUGUCCAAACCAAAUUGUCCAAACCAAAUUGGACCAUUCCAAAUGGGCCUUCCGCGGGGCCCAAAUAAAAUUGGACCAUUCAUACUAAAUUCAUUAAAAAAACAUAACUUGUGCUUAAAAAAAAAUUCAGAGCAUAAGCAAUUCAAAUGUUUUACACAUUCCAAAUCCAAAGCAUAGACAAUUUCAUAUAUUAAAGUUCAUACACAGAAAAAAAAAUCUAAAAACGAUGGUCUCUUCUUCUUUAUCUUCACUGAAACUUCAGUUAACAAGAACAUACGUGACAUUAUAAAUUUCUCAUUUAAACUUCAGCCUCUCCUGAAACACAUAAAAGUUGAAACUAUGAGUUUAAUCAUGUCACGUAGCCAUCAAUGUAACAUGAAUGAAUGAUACCACAAGCUCAGAUAGAACACAACUGACCAGUUCAUUGUAAUAACACUAAUGCUAGCAUCUUAUAAAAAAUGAAUUAGAUCAGACAACCGCAAGCUUAGACAGAACAUAAUUAACAAGUUAGCUAUCAGUUCACAAUGAUAACUAAAAACAUCAAGUUUUAAGCGUGAUAUUCAUCAGCAACGAAUGAAAGCAAUACCUUUAGUUGAGUCGAGUCCUUUUCUUUCCACUUUCUUCUGCUUCCUCAUCUAAGUCUUCCUUAUCUUCCUCAUCCAAAUCGCAUCCACCUACAAAACAAGAGAAGUUACUCAAUAGUUUCACAUAUCAAAUACUCAAUUAUAAAUUCAACACUCACCAAUUACUUCAUAACCACGAAGCCAGUUUCUAGCACAGAUCAGAGCUUCAACAUUUGAUGGGAGAAGUCGGCUCCUGUACUUGCUGAGAACCCUAUUUCCAACACUAAAGGAUGACUCAGAUGACACUGUUGUUAUUGGGAUGCAUAGAACAUCACAGGCCAUUUGAGACAGCUCCUUAAACCGGCUUGAGUUUUCCUUCCAGUACUUGAUGACAUCUAAUUUUGUAUUUGCUAACAUAUCAAGCACAGGUUCACUUAAAUACACAUCCAAAGCAGAUUUCCCUGUUCCUGCUUGUUGAGUGAAGAACGCAUAAAAGCCACCGUAACCAGCUGGUAAAGCAUCUGUUUCUGCUUCUUGUGAACUCUGAGCACUGGUACUCUUCUUCUUGUAAACUCCAUACAGCUUCACAAUCUUUUUGCGUAUGUAAUCCAUUUUUGACUUACAACUUGCUGGAUCAAGACUGUGGUAGCAGUACUCCAAAACCUUAAACUUCAUCCUAGGAUCUAAUACUGCUGCAAUGGCUAGAAUGUCGCUGUACUCAUCCCAGUACUUAUUGAAUUUGACCUUCAUUGAAGCCACCAUUUCACAAACCACUUCAUCUUCACAGAACUCAUUUGAUCCCAACCAGCUCUGAAUUUUCCAUACUUCCAUAAAGUACAGAUUCGCUGUAGGGUAAGAAGAGCCAGAAAUAAGCUUUGUCAUCUGAUAAAACGGCUCUAACAAACCACAAAUCAGCCCAGCUCUUAACCACUCUAACUCUGUAGGUAGACUUUGGUAACUUGUCUCAAUUUCAGCAAGAUUCUUAAAUGCUUCUUUGUAGUAAAGAGCCCUAGACAACAUCAGAUAGGUUGAGUUCCACCGCGUAGUAACAUCCAAGACUAAACCCCCUUUCUUAAUAAUCCCAACAGUCUCCACACAGCCUUGAAACAACAGCUCUCUAGACUCAGUAACUUUGACAUACUUAACGCUGUCUCUGAUCUUCUCCAAGGCCUCACUUAUCACCGAUAAUCCGUCUUGGACAAUGAGGUUCAGAAUGUGGGCAGCACACCUGAUGUGAAAGAACUCUCCACUGCAUACUAAAUCCUUUCUAAGUUGCCUCUUGAGAAAUCCUUGCAUGUUGUCAUUAGAGGAAGCAUUGUCUACGGUUACUGUGAAGACCUUCUUCUGCAACCCCCAUUCUUUAAUCAGCUCCAUUAGUUUCAUGGCAAUGGCCAGACCAGAAUGGGGUGGAGGGAAAGCACAAAAGGAGAGGAUCUUAGCUCUAAGGUUCCACUCAGGGUCGAUGUAGUGGGCAGUAAGACAGAGAUAGCCUUCGAUUGUGAUAGCUCUCCAUAAAUCCGUCGUUAGACAGAUCCUACCCGGAACUUCACUCAACACCUGCCUGAGCUUCAUUUUCUCCCUCUCAAAGAUCUUAAAAACAUCUGAAACUGCAGUGUUUCUACACCAGAACUUAACGGUUGGGUUGACAUACAAAAACGCUUCCCUAACCCUUCUAAACUCAACGAAAGCGUAAGGGAGAUCAUGCUCGACAAUUGCCACAGCAAUCAUUUCUCGAAAUACCAUCUGAUCAAUCUUCUUAGCCCCAGCUAGGGCACUACCAGGGGUCUUAGAGCAGAGUCUCGAAUGGCGAAGCAAAGUAUUAGUUCCACUUUUAUGCAAGUUUAGGAAGUAAUAGUGCUUACAGUAGUUGCAGACACAUUUAAAUUUACCAUCAGCCAUCUUAUCUCCUUCUAUUGUGAAGUAGUUCCAACACUUAGAAUGUCUACGCUUGUGUUUACCUUUCACCAUCUCGGCUGUACUCAUGAGAGACUCGUCCACCACAGGAUUGUUCUCGUCCAUUUCCUGUUCUGAAUCCUCAUGCUCACUCAUGUAGUCAUCAUCGUUGUUUAAACUCAUGAUAUCCAUCUGACAGCAAACAAGACUCAUUAGAAACAAGUCUAAGCGUGAGAAUCAUCAGCAAUGAAAUUAAUAGAACCACAAAUCCAUCAGUUAUAAGUACAAUAAACCGUCAACAGAAACAACACAUAAUUACUAUCAUCUUUAUACUUUACUAGAACUCAUUAAACUCAAAGCAAUAAAACUCAGUUAUAAGUGCAAUAAAAAAAUCACGACAUGAUAAAACUAAUCAUAAAUACAAUCAGUAAUAGAGCCUAUUUAACGUGAUCAACUAUGGCAACCUGUGGAUCAAGGCAGUAAUUUCACUGUAAGAUGAAACAGUCACCUGAGACAACAACAAAUGGUACAUUUUCAAGAACAUCCAGGACAAAGAAGUGUUGCAAUUUACUUAUAAAAUUAAGGCAUACGUACGUUCAUGAAAAUCUCUCUAGGAAAGACAAAGAGAAAAGUUGUCAAUUAGAACAAGUAGAUCUCUUCAGAACUCCUGAGAUUAACUAAAAAAAAACAAUUAAACAAACCAAACCCAGUUCACAAUCAGACCCAUUAAACAAAUUAAGCAUGACAGCUUGGUCGACAAGUUUCUCCAAAUCCUUGGAAUCACACUCAAGUUUCAUCACAUCACAAAAGGCACAUCACAUCACAUCACAUCACAAGUCUCCACAUUCGCACAAACUUCACAAUCAGACCCAUUAACUAGACAAUCAAACAAACCAAACCCAUUACCUGAGAGACGAGAGCUUGAGCCGGAGCCGGAGCCGGAGACGAGAGCUUGAGCCGGAGACGGUUCUUCGGUUGGAGACGAUUCUAGGAGAGUGAGAGAGCCGAGACUGUGGAAUCACAAACCCAUCAAAAUAAAAGAAAUCAAAUCGCAAAAGUGAGUGAGGACUGAGGAGAAUGAGAACAUACCUGAAGGCUGAAGCGAAUCGAAGACAAGAUAGAGUGAGAGACGGAGAGUCCAAGCAGAGAGAGGAGAGUCGAGACGGAGAGACACGGUUCCAGAGACGGGGAAACGAGGCGGAGAACGGAGAGGGACUCGCGACUCGCGAGAGAGAGAUCGGAGAAAGUGAGAAUCGAUUUCAA